GGUAGCGGGGGAGUAACUAUUGAAACGAUAGCUAAUACCGCAUGAAAUUGCUUAUCGCAUGAUAAUUAAAUUGAAGGAUGCAAUUGCAUCACUACCAGAUGGACCUGCGUUGUAUUAGCUAGUUGGUGAGGUAACGGCUCACCAAGGCGACGAUACAUAGCCGACCUGAGAGGGUGAUCGGCCACACUGGGACUGAGACACGGCCCAG
rnacentral:rRNA from 1 species